rnacentral:rRNA from 1 species
GACGAACGCUGGCGGCGUGCCUAAUACAUGCAAGUUGAGCGAUGAAGCUUGGUGCUUGCCCCAAUUUGAAGAGCAGCGAACGGGUGAGUAACACGUGGGGAAUCUGCCUUUGAGCGGGGGACAACAUUUGGAAACGAAUGCUAAUACCGCAUAAUAACUUUAAACAUAAGUUUUAAGUUUGAAAGAUGCAAUUGCAUCACUCAAAGAUGAUCCCGCGUUGUAUUAGCUAGUUGGUGAGGUAAAGGCUCACCAAGGCGAUGAUACAUAGCCGACCUGAGAGGGUGAUCGGCCACAUUGGGACUGAGACACGGCCCAAACUCCUACGGGAGGCAGCAGUAGGGAAGCUUCGGCAAGGGACGAAAGUCUGACCGAGCAACGCCGCGUGAGUGAAGAAGGUUUUCGGAUCGUAAAACUCUGUUGGUAGAGAAGAACGUUGGUGAGAGUGGAAAGCUCAUCAAGUGACGGUAACUACACAGAAAGGGACGGCUAACUACGUG